GACGAACGCUGGCGGCGUGCUUAACACAUGCAAGUCGAGCGGUAAGGCCCUUUCGGGGGUACGACGAGCGGCGAACGGGUGAGUAACACGUGGGUGACCUGCCCUCAGCUCUGGGAUAAGCCUGGGAAACCGGGUCUAAUACUGGAUAUGACUCCAUGACGCAUGUUGUGGGGUGGAAAGCCUUGUGCGGCUGAGGAUGGGCCCGCGGCCUAUCAGCUUGUUGGUGGGGUGAGGCCUACCAAGGCGACGACGGGUAGCCGGCC
rnacentral:rRNA from 1 species